rnacentral:tRNA from 2 species
GCCUUCAUGGUCUAAUGGUUAUGAUAAGUCACUAGUAAUGACUGGGUUCCCUGUUCGAUUCAGGGUGGAGGCA